rnacentral:misc_RNA from 1 species
GAAAUGCGAUAAGUAAUGUGAAUUGCAGAAUUCCGUGAAUCAUCGAAUCUUUGAACGCACAUUGCGCCCUCUGGCAUUCCUGGGGGCAUGCCUGUCCGAGCGUCAUUACGCACCCUCAAGCCCGGCUUGUGUGAUGGGCCCCGGCGUCUCGUUCGCGAGACGGGCCCGAAAGGCAGCGGCGGCGUCGACCCGAUGAGCCCGAGCGUAUGGGGACUUCUGUCACACGUUCGCGGUGCGGACCGGCGCCUGCUUGACUUUUCUGAUUAUCCAGGUUGACCUCGGAUCAGGUAGGGAUACCCGCUGAACUUAAGC